rnacentral:rRNA from 1 species
UACAGAGGGUGCGAGCGUUUGGUCCGGAAUCACUGGGCGUAAAGGGCGCGUAGGUGGUGGCUUAAGCGUGCGGGUGAAACUCGGGGCUCAACUCCGGAGUCGGCCGUGCGAACUGGGCUCACUGGAGCAUAGUAGAGGCAGGUGGAAUUCCGGGUGUAGCGGUGGAAUGCGUAGAGAUCCGGAAGAACACCGGUGGCGAAGGCGGCCUGCUGGGCUAUGGGCUGACACUGAGGCGCGACAGCGUGGGGAGCCAAACAGGG